CUUUGGAGGUGCAUCUGGUACCAAGUCUGUAACUCAGGAAGCUGCAUCGAUGAAAUGUUGUAUGCCUUCUCGAUGGAAAUCUUGGGGUCCAAGCUGACGAACACACGUCGGGUCAGGAUCUUCUUCUCUGUUAAGAUGAACCCUGGUGUCUCUUGAAUCAGGAUGCCGGAGGAUGGUCCCAUCUCUGCGAUCGGGUCGGUCCGUAGCUCUUGGCACAGGAGCAGUACGAUCCAGAAACACGCCACAUCCUUCUUGGACAUCUUUCGACAGUCACGGAUCAGGAACUCGUUUCAGAC